rnacentral:tRNA from 1 species
UUUUUUAUGGACUUUUACUGUUAAUUAUUUU